rnacentral:lncRNA from 1 species
AAUGACCUGCAACACACCGAGAAAACGCAACAGAACAGUUGAUUUUAGCUUUUUUAUUUCUUUACAGAUCUGGUUUUUGUCAUUUCUUUCUUCUCCGAUCUGCUCCUUCCUCUUCUUCUUCAGAUCGUCUUCUCCCCGGGUCGGUUCGUUAGGGGUUUCGUCUUCUUCUCUGCUUGUGGUGGCGAGGCCAAGGUGGAACGACCGCGCGGAUGCUGCUGGUGGUUUGUGAUGGCUGCGGUGGAGCUGUGAUGGAGAGGGGACCGUGGGUCUGCCACCGGUUGAAAAGGGAAGAUCGGUUGCUGCUGUUGGUUGCUCGACCGCCGCUGGAGGCUGAUUGAAGAGCAGAGGAUGAAGCAGUGGCGGACCGAUCCGGGUCCGUGGUGGACGCUGCUGCUGACGGAGAAGCCCGGCUGAGAGGAAAAGGUGGAGCUGGAAAAAUGGGGAGAAGGAGCAGCCGCAGGGAAGAAGAUGAGGGAGGUGGUUGUGCU